UACGAAGGGGGCUAGCGUUGCUCGGAAUGACUGGGCGUAAAGGGCGCGUAGGCGGCUCAUACAGUCAGAUGUGAAAUUCCUGGGCUUAACCUGGGGGCUGCAUUUGAUACGUGUGGGCUUGAGUGGGGAAGAGGGUCGUGGAAUUCCCAGUGUAGAGGUGAAAUUCGUAGAUAUCGGGAGGAACACCAGUGGCGAAGGCGGCGACCUGGACAGAUAUUGACGCUGAGGUGCGAAAGCGUGGGGAGCAAACAGG
rnacentral:rRNA from 1 species